rnacentral:rRNA from 1 species
GAGAGUUAAAUAGUACGUGAAAUUGUUGAAAGGGAAACGAUUGAAGUCAGUCAUGCUAGUGAAAAAUCAGUUUGACGGGUUUUGAGUUCGGGAGUAGAGGCAGGGUCAAACCGUUUCUCUUUUGGACUUGGGAUUUGUCGGAUGUACUUUUUCUUUGGCAGGUCAGCGUCGGUUUCGGAGGUUGUAAAAUACUUGGGGGAAAGUAGCUCUGCUUCGGGAGAGUAUUAUAGACCCUGGGGGAUGCGGCCUGUGGGAUCGAGGAUUGCAGCAAAUGCCUUUGGCUUGUCGCCUGAUCUCUGGAUGUUACCUCUCUUGUGACAACAUUCUUGCCACCGGGGAGUACUGAUGCCCAUUAGGUUAGAACGAUCAAAAAUUUGCUAAGGAUGCUGACGUAAUGGCUUUAAACGA